UACGUAGGGUCCGAGCGUUGUCCGGAAUUAUUGGGCGUAAAGGGCUCGUAGGCGGUUUGUCGCGUCGGGAGUGAAAACACGGGGCUUAACCCCGUGCCUGCUUCCGAUACGGGCAGACUAGAGGUAUGCAGGGGAGAACGGAAUUCCUGGUGUAGCGGUGGAAUGCGCAGAUAUCAGGAGGAACACCGGUGGCGAAGGCGGGUCCCUGGUCCGGUUCUGACGCUGAGACGCGAAAGCGCGGGAGCGAACGGG
rnacentral:rRNA from 1 species